rnacentral:rRNA from 1 species
GUCACGCUGUAAACGAUGUCGAUUUGGAGUUUGGGGGCAUGUCCCUUGGGCUCCGGAGCUAACGCGUUAAAUCGACCGCUGGGGAGUACGGCCGCAAGGUUAAAACUCAAAUGAAUUGACGGGGGCCCGCACAAGCGGUGGAGCAUGUGGUUUAAUUCGAUGCAACGCGAAGAACCUUACCUGGUCUUGACAUCCAUAGAAUCUUUCAGAGAUGAGAGAGUGCCUUCGGGAGCUAUGAGACAGGUGCUGCAUGGCUGUCGUCAGCUCGUGUUGUGAAAUGUUGGGUUAAGUCCCGCAACGAGCGCAACCCUUAUCCUUUGUUGCCAGCGGUUCGGCCGGGAACUCAAAGGAGACUGCCGUUGAUAAAGCGGAGGAAGGUGGGGACGACGUCAAGUCAUCAUGGCCCUUACGACCAGGGCUACACACGUGCUACAAUGGCGUAUACAAAGGGAAGCGAAGGAGCGAUCUGGAGCGGACCUCCUAAAGUACGUCUAAGUCCGGAUUGGAGUCUGCAACUCGACUCCAUGAAGUCGGAAUCGCUAGUAAUCGUGAAUCAGAAUGUCACGGUGAAUACGUUCCCGGGCCUUGUACACACCGCCCGUCACACCAUGGGAGUGGGUUGCACCAGAAGUAGAUAGCUUAACCGAAAGGGGGGCGUUUACCACGGUGUGAUUCAUGACUGGGGUGAAGUCGUAACAAGGUAACCAAGGGCGAAUUCUG